rnacentral:rRNA from 1 species
CCUACGGGGGGCUGCAGUGGGGAAUAUUGCACAAUGGGCGCAAGCCUGAUGCAGCCAUGCCGCGUGUGUGAAGAAGGCCUUCGGGUUGUAAAGCACUUUCAGCGGGGAGGAAGGCGGUGAGGUUAAUAACCUCAUCGAUUGACGUUACCCGCAGAAGAAGCACCGGCUAACUCCGUGCCAGCAGCCGCGGUAAUACGGAGGGUGCAAGCGUUAAUCGGAAUUACCGGGCGUAAAGCGCACGCAGGCGGUCUGUCAAGUCGGAUGUGAAAUCCCCGGGCUCAACCUGGGAACUGCAUUCGAAACUGGCAGGCUAGAGUCUUGUAGAGGGGGUAGAAUUCCAGGUGUAGCGGUGAAAUGCGUAGAGAUCUGGAGGAAUACCGGUGGCGAAGGCGGCCCCCUGGACAAAGACUGACGCUCAGGUGCGAAAGCGUGGGGAGCAAACAGGAUUAGAUACCCUAGUAGUC